rnacentral:rRNA from 1 species
UUCUGCCAGCACAUGCCUGGGAUCUCACCAGCUAAGCAGGGUAGAGCCAGGUCAUUACUUGGGUGAGAGAUCUCCUGGGGGCUGCAGGGAGUGGCGCUCU